rnacentral:rRNA from 1 species
CAGUCGCCACGGUAAUACAGAGGGUGCAAGCGUUAUCCGGAUUUAUUGGGUUUAAAGGGUCCGUAGGCGGAUCUGUAAGUCAGUGGUGAAAUCUCACAGCUUAACUGUGAAACUGCCAUUGAUACUGCAGGUCUUGAGUAAAUUUGAAGUGGCUGGAAUAAGUAGUGUAGCGGUGAAAUGCAUAGAUAUUACUUAGAACACCAAUUGCGAAGGCAGGUCACUAAGAUUUAACUGACGCUGAUGGACGAAAGCGUGGGGAGCGAACAGGAUUAGAUACCCCUGUAGUCCCUGUCUCUUAUAC